CUGUGAGACAUGCAGAGCUGUGAGACACGCAGAGCUGUGAGACACGCAGAGCUGUGAGACACGCAGAGCUGUGAGAUACACAGAGUGGUGAGACACGCAGAGCGGUGAGACAUGCAGAGCUGUGAGAUACACAGAGCGGUGGAGUUGUGAGCCAACAGGAGUUACGCCCAAGUUGACCGAACCUACACAGAGGUUAACCUGACAUGUGUGACACGACGCGUGAGUGAAGGACACCCACGCACUCAGAAAGCAGAACACAGCCAAUUAUCUCCCAUCUGUGUUUGCGGAGGCAUUUCCAUCCAUUCUAAAUACAGCUCCAUGUCACUGUUGCCAGAGAAGAGGAACAAGGAGUGGGCUCUUAAUCAGGAGGCGUGCAUACCAUCCAACGCUUCCACGGAAUAUUACUCACAAACGUUCAGGCCCUGGACAAGAAAAUAGAUGAGCUCAGGGCGAGGAUCUCCUUACAGAGAGACAUCAGGGAUUGUAAUAUACUCUAUUUGAUGGAAUCAUGGUUCUCUCCAGAUAUACUGUCCCCGUUCAUUCAGCCGCCGGGAAAAAUAAAUGUGGAGGUGUAUGUUUCCAGUGGCGCUGAGUGAGUAAAAUCACUGGGGAAGCCAAUCCCCCCCAAAAUGCCAUAUUACCACCUAUGUGUUGUGAUGAUUGCAUUGUUUGCUCUAUUUUAGUUCAUAUGUCAUGCGACCGUGAUAUAUAUAGGCCAAAGGUUGAGACAACAAGAAUACAGUGGCAGAAUAAAUUAAACCACACCGUUGUUUUAUCACAAAACUGGAGAGCAACCUCUGUCCAGUGAAGUCCAUAUUGCAUGUACAGUAACAAACAGUUGCAUGACCAACCGCAUGGUCAAGCAAGUUAAUGUUUCUGACAUUUUCUGAAUUAUUAUAAUUUUUUGGGCAAUUCUGGGGGGGAAGUCUGGUUCAUGUUCACCCCCCCCCCCCCCCCAACCAACCAGACACCACGACAGCUCUCAAGUAACCACAGUGAACUUUGUGCGAGUUGGAAACUACAUAUCCUGAGGUCGCAUUUUUUGUAGCUUGGGACUUUAAUAAAGGAAAUCUGAGGAAAAGUUUUAUCAACACAUCUUCUGUGCUACUUCCCCUUCUGGGACGGCUACAAGGCCUUCCCCUGCUCUCCUUUCGUCAAAUUGGAUCAUGCCUCCAUUUUGCUACUGCCCUCCUGUAGGCAGAGUCUUAAACAGGAAGUACCCGUGGUACGGACUGUUCAACAAUGGUCUGACCAAUCAGAAUCUAUGUUUUAAGAUUGUUUUGAUGACGCGGGCUGUGACUAUUGGAACUUCUCGAAACGUAAAUACACUACAUUACCAAAAUUAUGUGGACACCUGUUAGUCGAACAUCUCAUUUCAAAGUCAAAAGCAUGCUGCUAUAACAGCCUCCACUCUUCUGGGAAGGCUUUUCGCUGGAUGUUAG